GGCUCAGUAGCUAAGUUGGUAAAGCACUCAUCUAGCAUACAGGAGUCGUGGAUUCGAAUCCCACCUGAGCAA
rnacentral:tRNA from 2 species